rnacentral:tRNA from 1 species
GUCAGUAUGGCGGAGUGGUCUAACGCGCUGGACUUGAACGUUUGUUCUCGCUAUCCAGUACCUUCGGGUGCCUAGGUUCGAACCCUAGUGCUGACG